UACACAAAAAUGCACAUGCUGUGAGCUCGAUGAGUAGGGCGGGACACGUGGUAUCCUGUCUGAAUAUGGGGGGACCAUCCUCCAAGGCUAAAUACUCCUGACUGACCGAUAGUGAACCAGUACCGUGAGGGAAAGGCGAAAAGAACCCCGGCGAGGGGAGUGAAAAAGAACCUGAAACCGUGUACGUACAAGCAGUGGGAGCACAGAGCAAUCUGUGUGACUGCGUACCUUUUGUAUAAUGGGUCAGCGACUUAUAUUCUGUAGCAAGGUUAACCGAAUAGGGGAGCCGAAGGGAAACCGAGUCUUAACUGGGCGUUAAGUUGCAGGGUAUAGACCCGAAACCCGGUGAUCUAGCCAUGGGCAGGUUGAAGGUUGGGUAACACUAACUGGAGGACCGAACCGACUAAUGUUGAAAAAUUAGCGGAUGACUUGUGGCUGGGGGUGAAAGGCCAAUCAAACCGGGAGAUAGCUGGUUCUCCCCGAAAGCUAUUUAGGUAGCGCCUCGUGAAUUCAUCUCCGGGGGUAGAGCACUGUUUCGGCAAGGGGGUCAUCCCGACUUACCAACCCGAUGCAAACUGCGAAUACCGGAGAAUGUUAUCACGGGAGACACACGGCGGGUGCUAACGUCCGUCGUGAAGAGGGAAACAACCCAGACCGCCAGCUAAGGUCCCAAAGUCAUGGUUAAGUGGGAAACGAUGUGGGAAGGCCCAGACAGCCAGGAUGUUGGCUUAGAAGCAGCCAUCAUUUAAAGAAAGCGUAAUAGCUCACUGGUCGAGUCGGCCUGCGCGGAAGAUGUAACGGGGCUAAACCAUGCACCGAAGCUGCGGCAGCGACGCUGAUGCGUUGUUGGGUAGGGGAGCGUUCUGUAAGCCUGCGAAGGUGUGCUGUGAGGCAUGCUGGAGGUAUCAGAAGUGCGAAUGCUGACAUAAGUAACGAUAAAGCGGGUGAAAAGCCCGCUCGCCGGAAGACCAAGGGUUCCUGUCCAACGUUAAUCGGGGCAGGGUGAGUCGACCCCUAAGGCGAGGCCGAAAGGCGUAGUCGAUGGGAAACAGGUUAAUAUUCCUGUACUUGGUGUUACUGCGAAGGGGGGACGGAGAAGGCUAUGUUGGCCGGGCGACGGUUGUCCCGGUUUAAGCGUGUAGGCUGGUUUUCCAGGCAAAUCCGGAAAAUCAAGGCUGAGGCGUGAUGACGAGGCACUACGGUGCUGAAGCAACAAAUGCCCUGCUUCCAGGAAAAGCCUCUAAGCAUCAGGUAACAUCAAAUCGUACCCCAAACCGACACAGGUGGUCAGGUAGAGAAUACCAAGGCGCUUGAGAGAACUCGGGUGAAGGAACUAGGCAAAAUGGUGCCGUAACUUCGGGAGAAGGCACGCUGAUAUGUAGGUGAAGUCCCUCGCGGAUGGAGCUGAAAUCAGUCGAAGAUACCAGCUGGCUGCAACUGUUUAUUAAAAACACAGCACUGUGCAAACACGAAAGUGGACGUAUACGGUGUGACGCCUGCCCGGUGC
rnacentral:rRNA from 1 species